AGUCAUUACAGCAAGGCGGAGGAGGUGGCGCUGGUGGUCAAGAAAGAGGCAGCAUCGGAGGUAGCGGAGGUUUCGGUGGUGGUUUCGAAAUCGGAAUGAACGCUGGAGCUCAGGGCGGUGGUCAGGGCGGCGGUCAGGGUAGCGGUCAAGGCGGCAGCCAAGGCUAAAAACAACUAAUAAGUGCAGUAUUCCAUCGAGUUAUCCAUAUUUAUUUUUGUGUGUAGAGUAGAAUAAAUGUUGCAAAAA